AUUUUUUUAACUCUUCAGGAUAUUUACAUCAUUCAACAGGACAAACAAAUAUUUCUCUGAGAUAGAUUAAGCAAAGAAGUAUGAAAAUGUUAACUAGAAUAAAUGUGGAAAAUAAUGCCCAGUUCUGAGAAAUGAAAUCUAUGUAUACUACAUUAGUACACAUACAAAAGUUUGCUCAAAAUCUUUCUUUCCAUAACAGAUCAAAGUCCACAUUUCACAUAGAACAUGUUCAAACCUGUCAUGUCAAAACUGCUACAGACCACAUCAAAAUUUGUCACUGACCAAGUCAAAGCAGCCUCACAACAAUAUCUUGUUACACAAUUCUAUUUGCUCUGUCCUUGUAUACAUCUAAAACUAGCUGGUCGAUCACAAUAUAAUUACAUCACACAACUUUUCAAUCCUUUCAAUUCAAUAAACCCAGUCAACACAGUACAAAAUGAAAGUUGGU